GAUGAACGCUGGCGGCGUGCCUAAUACAUGCAAGUCGAGCGAACAGACGAGGAGCUUGCUCCUUUGACGUUAGCGGAGGACGGGUGAGUAACACGUGGAUAACCUACCUAUAAGACUGGGAUAACUUCGGGAAACCGGAGCUAAUACCGGAUAACAUGUUGAACCGCAUGGUUCAACAGUGAAAGACGGUCUUGCUGUCACUUAUAGAUGGAUCCGCGCCGCAUUAGCUAGUUGGUAAGGUAACGGCUUACCAAGGCAACGAUGCGUAGCCGACCUGAGAGGGUGAUCGGCCACACUGGAACUUAGACACGGUCCAGACUCCUACGGGAGGCAGCAGUAGGGAAUCUGCCGCAAUGGGCGAAAGCCUGACGGAGCAACGCCGUGUGAGUGAAGAAGGUCUUCGGAUCGUAAAACUCUGUUAUUAGGGAAGAACAAAUGUGUAAGUAACUAUGCACGUCUUGACGGUACCUAAUCAGAAAGCCACGGCUAACUACGUG
rnacentral:rRNA from 1 species